rnacentral:lncRNA from 1 species
AUGAUUAUACUCUACCAAUACCUCGGUCAUGAAUAUAUUGUGUGGGAACAUAUUGAACAUAUUGAACAUAUUGUGGGGGAACAUAUUGAACACAUUGAAAAUAUUGAACAUAUUGUGGGGGAACAUAUUGAACAUAUUGAACAUAUUGAACAUAUUGUGGGGGAACAUAUUGAAAAUAUUGUGGGGGAACAUAUUGAGCAUUUUGUGUGGGAACAUAUUGUGGGGGAACAUAUUGAACAUAUUGAACAUAUUGUGUUGGAACAUAUUGAACAUAUUGAACAUAUUGAACAUAUUGAACAUAUUGAACAUAUUGUGUGGGAACAUAUUGAACAUAUUGAACAUAUUGAACAUAUUGAACAUAUUGAACAUUUUGUGUGGGAACAUAUUGAACAUAUUGUGGGGAAAAUAUUGAACAUAUUGAACAUAUUGAACAUAUUGUGUUGGAACAUAUUGUGGGGGAACAUAUUGAACAUAUUGAACACAUUGAACAUAUUGUGUUGGAACAUAUUGAACAUAUUGAACAUAUUGUGUUGGAACAUAUUGUGGGGGAACAUAUUGAAAAUAUUGUGGGGGAAUAUAUUGAACAUAUUGAAUAUAUUGUGGGGGAACAUAUUGAACACAUUUUGUGGGAAAAUAUUGAACAUAUUGUGGGGAACAUAUUGAACAUAUUGAACAUAUUGAACAUAUUGUGGGGGAACAUAUUGAACAUAUUGAACAUAUUGAACAUAUUGAACAUAUUGUGGGGGAACAUAUUGUGUUGGAACAUUGUCGUGGAAAUUUCCUCUAUUUACCAAAUCAUGAGAGCAAACCACACACAAGUCGGAGUUAGUUAUCAAAGUCCAUCUUUAAUUAUAUGAGCUCUAUCACAACCCUGUGACUCUCAGAUCAAUUCAGUGUCUAUCAAUGAAUUCUCUGAGAGUCCCUCACACAUUGCAACUGAGAUCCUUUAAUAGCAAAGACACACACAUAGCCAGACAGCAUAGGCAUAAUUUAUCGUUCAGCUUUGUCUCCCAAACUAUGCUCUUCUCUCAAACUCAGAACCAUAAACCAAUCCUCCAUGUCAACAGGCAUAUAUCAAAUCCAUCCUAUCUUGAAAAGAUCACAGAGACACACUGACUGGCACACAGACAUUGUGGAGUCAAGAGAUACACGCUUGACCUCUCCCCUCUCUCCGGCCCAAGCAACUUGGUCUUGACAUAGAACAGAUACUGCAACCCCGCCACAGUAUUAUACAAAAAUAACAUUCUGAUGAGAAGUAACUUACAAACAUAUGAUAUAAAACAUCUUACCUAUGUUACCAACUAAUUCUGAUUAUUCCCCAACAACAUAUUGAACAUAUUGUGGGGGAAUAUAUUGAACAUAUUGAACAUAUUGAACAUAUUGAACAUAUUGUGGGGGAACAUAUUGAAUAUAUUGAACAUAUUGUGGGGGAACAUAUUGAACAUAUUGUGGGGGAAAAUAUUGAACAUAUU